GACGAACGCUGGCGGCGUGCUUAACACAUGCAAGUCGAACGGAAAGGCCCUGCUUUUGUGGGGUGCUCGAGUGGCGAACGGGUGAGUAACACGUGAGUAACCUGCCCUUGACUUUGGGAUAACUUCAGGAAACUGGGGCUAAUACCGGAUAGGAGCUCCUGCUGCAUGGUGGGGGUUGGAAAGUUUCGGCGGUUGGGGAUGGACUCGCGGCUUAUCAGCUUGUUGGUGGGGUAGUGGCUUACCAAGGCUUUGACGGGUAGCCGGCCUGAGAGGGUGACCGGCCACAUUGGGACUGAGGUAACGCCCAGACUCCUACGGGAGGCAGCAGUGGGGAAUAGUGCACAAUGGGCGGAAGCCUGAUGCAGGAACGCCGCGUGCGGGAUGACGGCCUUCGGGUUGUAAACCGCUUUCGCCUGUGACGAAGCGUGAGUGACGGUAAUGGGUAAAGAAGCACCGGCUAACUACGUG
rnacentral:rRNA from 1 species